CAGCAGCCACGGUAAUACGUAGGUGGCAAGCGUUGUCCGGAUUUAUUGGGCGUAAAGCGAGCGCAGGCGGUUCCUUAAGUCUGAUGUGAAAGCCCCCGGCUCAACCGGGGAGGGUCAUUGGAAACUGGGGAACUUGAGUGCAGAAGAGGAGAGUGGAAUUCCAUGUGUAGCGGUGAAAUGCGUAGAUAUAUGGAGGAACACCAGUGGCGAAGGCGACUCUCUGGUCUGUAACUGACGCUGAGGCUCGAAAGCGUGGGUAGCAAACAGGAUUAGAUACCCGAGUAGUCCCUGUCUCUUAUAC
rnacentral:rRNA from 1 species